AGUGAACGCUGGCGGCAGGCCUAACACAUGCAAGUCGAGCGGCAGCGGGUCCCCGCGAGGGAUGCCGGCGAGCGGCGGACGGGUGAGGAACACAUCGGAAUCUGCCUGGUUGUGGGGAUAACGUAGGGAAACUUACGCUAAUACCGCAUGCGACCCUGAGUCGACGGACUUGGGGUGAAAGUGAGGGACCUUCGGGCCGUCACGCGACCAGAUGAGCCGAUGUCGGAUUAGCUAGUUGGCGGGGUAACGGCCCGCCAAGGCGACGAUCCGUAGCUGGUCUGAGAGGAUGAUCAGCCACACUGGGACUGAGACACGGCCCAGACUCCUACGGGAGGCAGCAGUGGGAAUCUUGGACAAUGGGCGCAAAGCCUGAUCCAGCCAUGCCG
rnacentral:rRNA from 1 species